rnacentral:rRNA from 1 species
UUUCGCAAUGCCCGAAAGGGUGACGAAGCGACGCCGCGUGCGGGAAGAAGGCCUUCGGGUUGUAAACCGCUGUCGGGAGUUAGGAAGUGCAAGGAUGUUAAUAGCAUUCUUGCUUGACUAAGGCUCCGGAGGAAGCCACGGCUAACUCUGUGCCAGCAGCCGCGGUAAUACAGAGGCGGCAAGCGUUGUUCGGAAUUAUUGGGCGUAAAGAGCACGUAGGCGGCUGUGUAAGUCGGUUGUGAAAGCCUUCCGCUUAACGGAAGAACGGCAUCCGAUACUGCAUAGCUUGAGUGCGGGAGGGGAGAGUGGAACUUCUGGUGGAGCGGUGAAAUGCGUAGAUAUCAGAAGGAACACCGGCGGCGAAGGCGACUCUCUGGUCCGUAACUGACGCUGAGUGUGCGAAAGCUAGGGGAGCAAACGGGAUUAGAUACCCCGGUAGUCCUAGCCGUAAACGAUGGGCACUAAGUAGAGGGGUUUU